rnacentral:rRNA from 3 species
ACUUAAAUUGAAGAGUUUGAUCAUGGCUCAGAUUGAACGCUGGCGGCAGGCCUAACACAUGCAAGUCGAGCGGUAGCACAGAGAGCUUGCUCUCGGGUGACGAGCGGCGGACGGGUGAGUAAUGUCUGGGAAACUGCCUGAUGGAGGGGGAUAACUACUGGAAACGGUAGCUAAUACCGCAUAACGUCGCAAGACCAAAGUGGGGGACCUUCGGGCCUCAUGCCAUCAGAUGUGCCCAGAUGGGAUUAG